rnacentral:rRNA from 1 species
UACGGAGGGUGCAAGCGUUGUCCGGAUUCACUGGGUUUAAAGGGUGCGUAGGUGGGCAGGUAAGUCAGUGGUGAAAUCUCCGGGCUUAACCCGGAAACUGCCAUUGAUACUAUUUGUCUUGAAUACCGUGGAGGUCAGCGGAAUAUGUCAUGUAGCGGUGAAAUGCUUAGAUAUGACAUAGAACACCAAUUGCGAAGGCAGCUGGCUACACGAAUAUUGACACUGAUGCACGAAAGCGUGGGGAUCAAACAGG